UGCAAUUUCCUAGAGAAGUAGUGUAUUUACACAAAUUGCCAAUUGCUUAAAUCAUGAGCAAGACCUUAUGAAGGGGAUAAAGCAAAGUACGCAUUUAUUGAUAAAGGGCUUAAUACACACACAACAUUCAUACCCCAAUUUCUGUUCUACACUCGUAUAUGUUACAAGUCUUAUUGGUGCUCAGAUCAAUUUAGUGGCCAGCCAAGUUGAUCUUGAAUGGGAGCCAAGCUCCUGCAGGUCCAUCUUGUCAGACAAACUGAUGCUCCAGGAUGACAUGCAGAACAAG